CCUACGGGUGGCAGCAGUGGGGAAUAUUGGACAAUGGGGGCAACCCUGAUCCAGCCAUGCCGCGUGUGUGAAGAAGGCCCUCGGGUUGUAAAGCACUUUCAGUGAGGAAGAACGCCUGGUGGUUAAUACCCAUCAGGAAAGACAUCACUCACAGAAGAAGCACCGGCUAACUCCGUGCCAGCAGCCGCGGUAAUACGGAGGGUGCGAGCGUUAAUCGGAAUUACUGGGCGUAAAGCGCGCGUAGGUGGCUUGAUAAGCCGGUUGUGAAAGCCCCGGGCUCAACCUGGGAACGGCAUCCGGAACUGUCAAGCUAGAGUGAAGGAGAGGAAGGUAGAAUUCCCGGUGUAGCGGUGAAAUGCGUAGAGAUCGGGAGGAAUACCAGUGGCGAAGGCGGCCUUCUGGACUGACACUGACGCUGAGGUACGAAAGCGUGGGUAGCAAACAGGAUUAGAUACCCUGGUAGUC
rnacentral:rRNA from 1 species